rnacentral:lncRNA from 1 species
UCUGAUGCCACUUGAUCAGUCGAAAACAAUAUGGAUUAGUAAGCGCUAAACCUAGAAUGAGAACACGGGAUUGCAAGCACAAAACCUGUCAGAUAAACUAUGGAAUCCACCAAAUAAAGAAAAUAUUGAAUUUUAUUAUAUCAAAAGAUAACCUUGACGGUCACAUUCAAAAGUGUUUAAAUACAGAAAAAGAAAUCCUAAUAGGUUUUUAAUCCAAAAUAGAAAUAAAAUAGAAAAAAG